UGGGUCGGUGACAUAAGUGGGGGAAGUGCGUGGCUUAUAUAAAGAGCCUCGGAGGUGACACAAACGGACACGCACCCGUCGACGGAACAAGAUUUCCUUCCGCUUCACAACAGCGAUUAAAUACAAGCCACAAUGCUGAGGAACGUCCUCAUCGCUGCCCUGCUCUUGGCGGCUGUCUUCUGCAUAGCCUCGGCUCAGUUUGGAUACGGCCGUGGUUUCGGGUAUGGCCGUGGUUUCGGAUACGGCCGUGGUUUCGGCUACGGCCGAGGCUUCGGCGUUGGACAUGGUUUCGGCUACGGUCGUGGAUUCUAUGGAGGGUACGGCCGCGGCUUCUACGGCGGCUAUGGACGUGGUUUCGGCUACGGCAGAGGAUUCUACGGCUGAGCGAGACAACUCUUCUCCACAACGGAUAUCACUUCAUCCAUGUCCAUGAGUAUCAUUUCCAACCUACCGUUUCUGGAUUUUGUAAUAAAAAGUCAUUGCACCUUUGAA